UGGGGAAUAUUGCACAAUGGGGGAAACCCUGAUGCAGCGACGCCGCGUGAGCGAUGAAGGCUUUCGAGUCGUAAAGCUCUGUCCUAUGGGAAGAUAAUGACGGUACCCUGUGAGGAAGCCCCGGCUAACUACGUGCCAGCAGCCGCGGUAAUACGUAGGGGGCUAGCGUUAUCCGGAUUUACUGGGCGUAAAGGGUGCGUAGGUGGUCUUUCAAGUCGGUGGUUAAAGGCUACGGCUCAACCGUAGUUAGCCUCCGAAACUGAAAGACUUGAGUGCAGGAGAGGAAAGUGGAAUUCCCAGUGUAGCGGUGAAAUGCGUAGAUAUUGGGAGGAACACCAGUAGCGAAGGCGGCUUUCUGGACUGCAACUGACACUGAGGCACGAAAGCGUGGGUAGCAAACAGG
rnacentral:rRNA from 1 species